GUGAGCGUGGCCCCGGUUCUGAGUGGCGCCGGGCCGGGCUGAGUCGAGCCGGGCCCUGCGGCUCUUCUUCCCGCCCCGGGGGCAUCCUGCCCUCCAGGGUGGGGUCGGCGGGGACCGCAGUGUCGGGGUGGGCUGGGUGGGCGGCGGGGCCUGGGUCCCGCAUUGAUUGGGGCGGAGCCGCCUAGGCCGGGAUGCGGACCGGGGCUGGGGUCUCGGGCUCAAGGCCGCAUCCGUGAUGAGGGACCGCGGCCGGUGUCCCGGGCUCACGGCUGGAUCCGAGAUACGGCUCCCGGGGUAGGUAAGGGUCGUGGGUUCAAGGCCGAGGCUGGGACCCUGGGCCGGGGUCCUAAGUUACAGUGUUGAUCCCGGAUGCGGGACCGGGGCCGGGGUAUGGGGUUCAAGGCCGGGCCGAGUGUCGGGAUUCGGUUCCCAGAGCCGCGAUCCCGGAACCGAGGCUGUGGUGGAGUGGUCUAGGCCGUGGUGCCGGAUUGCGGCGGUGGUCCUGAGUUCAAAAAGGGGAGCGGGAUGCUGUGUUGGGGCCGGGUCGUGAACUCGAACCUGGGCGGGCCGGGCCAGGGUGAAGGGCGCUCUGCAGGCGCUCCUGCUGCUCGAGGUUGGGUCCCCGCGGGAACAAAAGCCGAGCUCUGCCCUCUCGACCGCGCCUUCCUGCGGGGUGUGGGACCCGGCAGGGCCGCGCGGGGAGAGCGUGCGCGGGGCGGGUCUUUCGGAUGCAGCCAUCACCCCUGCCGGGUGCGGGCCCGCUGUCUACCGCGCUUCCCGGCUCCCCUGGUCCCGGCGUUCCCGGCCCCAAGCGCCCCGCGAAUGAAUGGGCGCCGCGUCCGGCCGCCGCGACAAGAUGGCGAUGCCCGCCUUUGUCAGCUAGGACCGCGCCGGCCGCCGCCGGGGCUGAAAACAAAGGCCGGCCCCGGUGGCCGCCGCCGGGGCCGAAGAGGAAAAGCGCCGGGGUCCUAGGUUCGCCUGGACGUCACUGUCCUGCCCAGAGCCCUCACCGGGUGGCCUAGCCUUUCUGUGUCUCCACAGCCUCGGUUUCCCCUGGGGAACUGCAGCUUGGCUUUUGACUUUUUGAUAUGUUUGAACAUUUUUUUUUCGUUUUUUUUUUUUUUUAAACGUCACGUUUAGCAUCCCCAAGUAGCAUCCCUGUAUGUGUCAGUUCGUCUUUACAGAGGUUGUGUCAGAAUUUUUAUUUUGAGAGGAGAAUUUGUGGUAUUUAUAAUGAAGUAUACUAACGGGGCUUGUUCGGAAAUAUUGAAAUUUCGGGUAACUCGCAGUGUUUGGUAGUAAUAGCUAUUUUGUUAUGUUUGGUCUGAUAGCAGCAGUCUAGCGUUUUGUGUGGUUAAGUAGCCGGUGAGAUUGACUAUUAACUAAGGAAAAAUGUAGAUGAUCUUUCAUGAUUAGCAAAUAAAUGGCACCGUUAAUCUUGUGAAAAGUUCCACUUCACUGUGGAGACUGAAUAUGGGUUUUCAGAGAAAACAUUAAUCAGUUUCUAAAUAGUUAUUUUUUAAUCGGUCUUUAUUUGAAUAAAAUAAGACUUUUAGUUCUCAUACUAAAAUCUCUUCUGGAUUCUUCUGGAAGGUACUUCAUACUGCAAAAAGAAAAUGAAGGAGAGCAGUUCCCUUUCUCCUGUCUUACACUGGGUGUUUGGCCAGGGAUGGAAGUGUGAGCACAGGCUUUGAGCUUCUACACAACAGAACUAGGUUCUGGCUUGAUUUGACUUAAGGGAGACAGACUUUUCUGACAGACCUGUACAGGAAUGUAGUGCAGCUUGGUAGGACAGGAUUCCAUGGGGAGGCUAGACUGUAGGUGUAGGGUCCUGCCUGCAUUUUAUUUCACAGCUACAGUGUGCAUUCUUUCUUAGAAGAUGAGAGUCUGGAAAGUCAAAAGUAGGUUAUCUGAGGCUGUGUGCUCAUAACCUGCUGCCUGGCUCCUGGGCCUGCAGAUGCCAGGUGUUAGAAUUAUAUUUCAUCUGCCAUGAACUUCAUCCACAACACAAACACUUCUUACAUAGCUCCUGAGCUGACAUCAAAACUAUGGUUUCUCUUUGUUUGAUAACCUUAGUUAUGUCUGAUUUGGGGGUGGGGGCCGGGUAAAUUUUCUUAGAUGUAGAAGGUUGCAGAAUAGACCAGAUGUGGUAGGAUGUCCUCUAACCCCAGUACUCUGGAGACCGAGGCAGGAAGAUCAAUGCAAGUUGGAGCAGCCUGGGCUAUCUACUGACUAGGCUUGUCUAAAGACUCCCUUUCCCCAAAGUCUGCAUAAUAUUUUUGUCUCUCUUUUUUAAGAAUAUUCAAAGCUACUAAUGAGGCAGAUUUCGGAGUUUAUGCAAGGUGGAUUUAUACUGACCACUGGAGAAACUCAAAAGAAGUGGCGCACAGACAUACUGAUGCUUUGUUAGUUUCACUUAGUUAAAAAAAAAAAAAAAUACUGGGCUAGCUGGGCGGUGCUGGUGCAUGCCUUUAGUCCCAGCACUUGGGAGGCAGAGGCAGGCAGAUCUUUGUGAGUUCGAGUCCCGCCUUGUCUGCAGAUCAAGUUCCCGGACAGAGAAACCCUGUCUCAAAAAACAAAACUGGGUUAGGGGUUCAGGUACUCAGUGACAAGACUGAGGAUCUAAGUUAGAUCUUGGGGGUGGCGGUGGGGGCAUGGGUGAAAGGGAGAAUGCACUCCUGCAAGUCAUCCUUCACUCAUGCACACAAUUGUACUAAGUAUAAUUUAAGAAAAUCUAUUAUCUGUUAGUACUAUUGGAAAAGGUAGCCUUGAGAAGGCCCUUGAGCUGCUAGGGCUCUUUGGACUCACCAAUCAAUUGCUAUGUGGUCAGUGCUCACCUUUAGUGAGCCACAAUGAUUUUGUUUUAGAAGUGUAGUAUCUGCAGUUAUUAGUUUGUUCAUUGGAUUGUUUUUCUCUGCACAAGAGAUUUGGCUCAUGUCAGUCACUAAGUGGGAUUAAAUUCUUUAUGUGGGCUUUGGCUUUAGCAUUAGUGGAUUGGUAAUAGAUAUUCUCAAUUUUAUUAUCUCUACUUUGACCAUAUGGUGUACCUUUCCCCACCUCCCUUUAGUUUUUAAAGACCAUCUUACUCUAUGAUCCAUGCUGUCCUGGAACUGACUUUGUAGUCCAGGCUGGCCUUUAGCCCUCCCUGGUGGACCUUCCUUAGCCUCCCAAGUGCUAGGAUUCAGGCAUGAACUAUCUUGCCCAGCUUUAUUCCAUAUUAUUUUUAAACUAUUUAUCGUAAGUCUCACAAGACAUGGGACAACAUUUUUAGAAUCUUAAGUUUUUUAUUUUUUAAAUUAAUGUUUUAUGUAUAUGAGUGUUUUGCCUGCAUGUAUGUGUGUGCACCGGUGAGUGUUUGGUUCCUGUAGAGACCAGAAGGUUGUGAGAUUCCAUGUGUGAGCUGGGAAUAAAACCCAAGUCCUCUGCAAGAGCAACAAGUGCCCUUGAUGGCUGAGCCAGCUCUCCAACUCCUUUUCUUUUUUCUUUUUUUGUAUUUUGAGACUUGUCUUUCUAAAUAGCCCUGGCUGUCCUGGAACUUACUGGGACUGGUCUUGAACUCACAGGGAUCUACCUACCUCUGCCUCCCAAGGGCUGAAACUAAAGGCAUGUACCAUCAUGCCUGGCAUCUUCUUAAUUCUUGACCUUGAUUUAAAUUCUGAUUUUUAGGAGUUGAUGGUUUGUACUUGUAAUCUCACCACUUGGGAAGUGGGGGUAGGAUCAGGAGUUCAAGGUCAUUAGCUACUCUGAGUGAGGCCAGACUGGGCUACAUGAGACCUUUGAAUAAUUCCAGGCUUACAAUCAAGUGUUUUGUUUUUAAAGACAGGGCUCAUUGUGUUGCUCAGGCUAGUCUUGAUCUACUCAAGGGAUCCUCACCCUUCAUCUUUUCCAAGUGCUGGGAUUACAUUCUCCCCAGAGCUAUGUUCAUUGUUAAGAAUAUUUAUAGAAAUUUUAAAGUAGAAGUUCAGUUAAAUGGUUGGUUUAGUGGUCAUUGAACAAGAGGAGAAAAGAACAAACAUUUAAAUUAAAACAGUGAUUACAAAGCUAAAAUGUUUAAUAGUGAUGGGAAAAUGGUCUUAUGACAUUGUAUCUGUCUGUAUAUGUGAAGAGAGGACAUAGUAACUGUUCUGCAACAAGAAUUUUAAAGCUUGAAUUUUGUUGCAUAACUCAUUUCAGAAAUGCAGACUCUGUAGGUGUUGGAGUUGGUCACUGGGUAAGAGGACUGCUGACCGCUCUUUAACCUCCUUGUGCAGUACUGGCUUUAGGGAGCCCUGCCGAUCCCCUGAUGCUACUGCUGGCUUCCAGUGACAGGAAAACUUUCUCUUUUAUAGAGCAUAGUUGCCUUUUCUUUUUUAAAGACUUGACAACAAUAACAGUAUUUAGUGAUUUGUCUUCUUUUGUGGGGGGAUGGACUGUUUUUAAGACAGGACUUCUCAGUGUCAGCCUGGUCUACAGAGAGAGAGUUCCAGGACAGGCUACAAAGCUACACAAAGCUACCCCGUCUUAAAAAAACAAAAAAUAGGGGCUGGAGAGAUGUCUCAGAGGUUAAGAGCACUGGCUGCUCUUCCAGAGGUCCUGAGUUUAAUUCCCAGGAACCACAUGGUGGUUCAUGACCAUCUGUAAUGAGAUCUGGUGCCCUUUUCUGGCCUGCAUGCAUAUAUUCAGAGCACUGUAUACAUAAAAAGUAAAUAAAUCUUUAAAACAAACAAAAAACCCAAAAAGAAAAAUGGAAAGGGAGUGUGAGCUGCAAAUUAGAGAUUGGAGGUCCUUUGCUUGCAGUCAGGCAGGCAUCCUGUCUUAAUAUCUUGUCUCUAGCCUCAUGUAUGUGCAGUACUGCAUUUUCCAGGGGGAGGAAAACCCAGAGUUUCUGCAAGGUCUGUCCUGAGAAUAGAUAACUGGGAGAGUAGAAGGAUAACACCAUAUGAGGAGCAGAGGAAUAGUUGCUCACAGAGCACAGAGACAGAUUUUCUCUGUGUAGCUUUGACUGUCCUAGAACUCUAUAGACCAGGCUGGUCUUAACUCACAGAGAUCUGCCUACCUUUGCCUGCCAAGUGCUGGGAUUAAAGACAUGUGCCACCACUGCCCAGCAUGUUUUUAAGGGUCUGGGAGCAUAACCUUUAACAACAAUGGAGAGGCUGGAAUUAGUGAUGUUGCUUCUUAGCCAGAUGGUGGUGUGGAUUCCUCCUUUUUUGUAGAACAAGGAAACGGAACUCAGGUACCCUACCAUUUAGCCAUGGCCCUAGUUCUCCCCCCUUUUACAACUGAUACUUUUUUCUACAAACAAGUCGAAUUUAAGAGAGGGAAGGUAUUUUAGGAAUAAAGAAAAUAAAAUUAGUUUCCUUUUGACAUCUGUAGAAAUGGCAGAACAUGUUGACAUUUAAAGGAGGUAGGAAAUCAGUUUCCCUCCCUCUCUUCCCCCCACUUCUCUCCCUCCUUUCCCAUCACUCCUUGGGAGUUGGGUCUCCCAUCUUGUGGGUCAGGAUGAGCAUAUCUGAGUGCUCUUCUGACUGUCAUUUUGUAAUGAUGGUCAUCUUUCUGCCCUCCAUCCCACCCAGUUCUAUUUUUCCUUCACAAAUGAAAAGCACCUGACAUCAUUUACUUGAUAACCCCCUCAUCGGGAUAUUAACCAGAUACUUAACCUGGAAUACCAUACAUGUGAACCUGGCUAUAGAGGCCAUGAUGAUACAUGCUAUCAAUGUGUUAUCAGUAGUUUGAUGCUUCCAUCCUGUUUUUGUACUGUUACCUAAGUAUGUCUAUGUAGGUACUCAAAUUUUAAGGAUAUAUUUGUACUUUUUUUUUCCCAG
ensembl:lncRNA